UACGUAGGGAGCAAGCGUUGUCCGGAAUCAUUGGGCGUAAAGCGCGCGUAGGUGGCUUCGUAAGUCCGUUGUGAAAGUCAAAGGCUCAACCUUUGAAAGCCGAUGGAUACUGCGGAGCUAGAGUACGGAAGAGGCGAGUGGAAUUCCUGGUGUAGCGGUGGAAUGCGCAGAUAUCGGGAGGAAUACCUAUGGCGAAAGCAAGUUCCUGGGCCGUUACUGACGCUGAGCUGCGAAAGCUAGGGGAGCAAACAGG
rnacentral:rRNA from 1 species